rnacentral:lncRNA from 1 species
GCACGUCGAGAUAAAUUUGGUGCCGGUUUGGUGUUCAUCACUCCAUAAGAAGAGGUCAUCCCAUACUCUUUUACCCUAAUAAUCCGUUGCUCUAAUAUAAAACAACUGCAAUUACAAGUCUUUGGUGACUCCCAAUUGGUGAUCAAGUAGCUUUUGGGAAGCUAUGAAGUCAGAAAGCUUGAGCUACAAUCAUAUCAUGAUUAUGCAUAGAAGUUGAUGGGUUGGCUUGGAGAAAUAACCCUCCAACAUAUGCCAAGGAAGAAAAUAAGCAAACCGAUGUCCUAGCUACUUUGGCCUCAACCCUAACUCUUCCAAAUCAAACACGAGUUACUAUCCGCCAAGAAUGGGUAGUACCACCUGUUUUGCGAAAAUUUUGACUUUUAAAGGGAGUCGCCACUUAAUUUUGAAAAGGAAUUAAGAAAAUUUUAUAAAAUACUUAGACGAUUCAAAACAAAAAAAUUGUUUAAGUUAGAGAUUCUGAGUAAGCGAUUCCUAUUAACAUUUUAGGAAGGUGUUAGGCACCUAAAAAGUCCGCUAACUUGCGGUUAUCCGGACUGUUUGAAAACAUUUUUUGAUUAACUUCAAAAAAUUGAUUUUUUGAAAAGUGAUUGAUUUUAGAAAACGAUUUGUGUAAAAUGGAUUUAGGCGACUUAGUAGGGAUUUUAACUAAGUCUAAACAAGACUAAUAAACAAAAUAAACACAUAAAAGGGGGAAGGGAGGAGAAAGUAAAGGAUUUGGGCCAUUAGGCCCAAAUCAAUGAGACCUGUCCUAGUCUAAUUGGACUUUCGACCCAUUUCACCUGUCCUAAUCUAGUUUUUGAGCCUUUGGCUUAAGUCUUUCUCCACCUGUAUUAAAUUUACAACUUUGACUUCGAGGCCCAAAUGAAUGAAUAAAGGAAUAAAUAAAUAAAAGAUGACAAUGAAUAUAUAAAUAAAUAAAAAGAUAAAAAGAAACUUUCUAGUCUCUUUGCCGGGACUUUAGCCCAUUCUUCAGCGUUUGACUCUUCAUAAUCAUGCGCUAUGUGAUCGGCUUGCAAAGUCUUCUAGAAAGUGAUCCUCGAUGGACCAUUGUGUAAUGCAAGGGAAAGGAGUUCAAUUGGACUCCCGAGGGAUUUCAUGCAAAGAAAAAGAUGAAUGAACUAAUGUAUGAUCAACCAAAAAGGAAGGGAAACAAAAGGGAAUACCUUUAAAGGUUCAGAUGAUAUAUGAUAAACUAAUUUCAGUGAAGCACAGGCCAAUUCUCACACAUGACGCAAAUAUCACAUGGGUUUAUUACCAAAUCCUAGCUGAAAUUAUAUGGAUAUUCAAAUAACACAUCUUCAAUAAAAGAUAGGAAAAUCGCAGCUAACAGGAGAAUUGAAGGUUCUUAGAAAUUCGUUGACAGACAAAUCAACUAAAGAGGGAUUAAUAAUCAAUGAUAGUAUAAACAUGCCACAAGAUCUACGAAUUCGUAUCGUGUGAUCUAAAACAAAAUAUAAAGAAAAAAAUCAAUGAUAGGAUAACUAAAUUUACUACAUUGAUGGCAUACAAUCCGUUAUACAUCACUAACGAGACAAAAUCCAUUACUAUAUUUCCACGUAAUUUCGAAAAGGUGACCCAAGAUAAAGAACGCAACUUGAAUACAAAAUGUAUCCUUGAGGGGUCACCGAAUGAUUUGAACUAAUAUGACAUCUCCCUUAUCCAUUCUUGACAUUAUUUGUCGAUAGGGAUUUUGGGAAUGUUUCCACUUGACUUUGAAAGAUUCAAAACAAAUGCAGGACUGAACAAAAUCGAGACGAACUACCCACAAUAUUGAACUAAGGUAACAAAUCAAAAAUAAAACAAACAAUAGUCGUCUAAACGAAUAGCAAAUUGGGCCAAAAUAAUCCAGUACAAAAUGAUAUAAUGGAAAAUAACAAUAAUCAAACAUUACAGUGAUUUUGAAGACAAAGCUGAAAUAAAAUUAUAAGGUUAAAAUAUUGAGGCCCAAACUAAAAUAAUAAACGAUAAAUCAAAGGGAACUACUGGAUUUCAUCAAAACAAGGUGAUGACUAAAAUGAAAAUCUAAAAUCUUGCGGUUAAAAGCAUCAAAUAAUAUAGAACAAAAAUGAACUACACAAACAACAAUCAACAUGCAAAGCAUUUAGAUUGAAACAAAUAGUGAAUUAAUCCUACAACCUUUGUUGAUUCCUAUUAUAUAGAUUGAUAAACUACCCAACAACACUUAAUACGAAACAGUGAAUUUAGGGAAAGUGAACCCAAAUUAUGAAGCCAACAGUGAAAUACAGAUCAUAACAUGGGCAAUGAUUCAACAUAACAACCAUCUCUGCCUUUCGAGGCACCUACAACGAGCGAUUCUCAACAAACCACAACACACUCAAACAAAUUCUACAGCCGACGAGGCCUCUACAGCUACUCCCAGCACAGAAUAACAUCGAAAAAGUUAUUUAUAACCACAGAAGGUCGAGAUGAAGUAGAAAAGAUCAAAACUUGAAUAGAAAAGGAUAUUUAUUACCUAUUAGGGAGCAGCAAAACGGGACUACGAGCUGACGUCGGACUCCACCACCACCGGAAAGUUUGAUGCCGAUACAUGAAUUUUGACUAAACUAACUGCUACUUCCUAAAAUAUUUGCCGAACAAAAGUUGCUCUUUCCCAAAACCCUUUUUUCUUGACCCAAAAGAAAAUUUUUCCAAUCUAGUUUUUUAGAAAAUUUUCCAACCCAAUUUUUCUAAUCCCUCAAAAUACCGACCCAAUGGAUUCUUAUAUAGAAGAUGGAAUUGUGGGUAUUUUAGAGAUAUUUUUGGGGGAAUUCAAACAUCAAAAAUAAGGAUCAUAACAGAUUGUACCCUAAUUUGGAUUUUCUUGAACGACUUUCAAAAAGUCGCCAAUAGAAACUGGGGGAAAUGGAUAAUUUCCCCAAGAACCAACAAAAAUUUACCAAAUAUGUACGAAUUCAUACACGUUAUCUUGAGAUUCGUGGAAUUUGGACAUUGGGGGUGACACCUAGCUUGUUUCUAGAAGGUUUUUGGAUCCUUUGCUCGUCCAACUGAUGCGUGAGAUGCGUGCGAAGAAAAAACUGAUGGGUUGGGCCUGGG